UAGCUGUGAUGGCACCCAGUUGGUUUUGCUCACUACUGAUGUGCAGUGGGGUCAAUUCCACUUGGCUGUCUGGGCAG
rnacentral:snoRNA from 1 species